rnacentral:tRNA from 1 species
UCCUCAGUAGCUCAGUGGUAGAGUGGUCGGCUGUUAAUUGACUUGUCGUGGGUUUAAAUCUUACUUGGGGAG